AUUACAACAGUGCUUAAAGUUAAAGCUAAAAUUCUAAAACGUAUAUCAAAACAAUCCACACAUAUUUCUGUUUCUCAAAGAAGCAUUUGACAGGUCAUUUGAUUGUAGAUCAGCCAUUUCUGAAGAACCAAAAGAAGAGAUGGAAGGAUUUCAAAGGAUGAAAAAUCCACCUCCACUGCUUCCUGUAUCAUCACAAUCAACAUCUUCCUCUGAUGGACUCUACAUCCAUCCCACUAUAACUAGUCGAGGUACUAAAAGAAAACAUGAUGAUGAAUUACCUGAUUUGAGUAUGGAGUCAUCAAUG